UACGGGGGGGGCAAGCGUUGUUCGGAAUUACUGGGCGUAAAGGGCUCGUAGGCGGCCAACUAAGUCGGACGUGAAAUCCCUCAGCUUAACUGGGGAACUGCGUCCGAUACUGGAUGGCUUGGAUUCGGGAGAGGGAUGCGGAAUUCCCGGUGUAGAGGUGAAAUUCGUAGAUAUCGGGAGGAACACCAGUGGCGAAGGCGGCGAUCUGGGAAGAUACUGACGCUGAGGUGCGAAAGCGUGGGGAGCAAACAGG
rnacentral:rRNA from 1 species